rfam:Biomphalaria glabrata isolate BB02 unplaced genomic scaffold LGTN_random_Scaffold699, whole genome shotgun sequence.
GGCGCGGUGGCUGAGUGGUAAAGCGCUUGGUUUCUGAGCCAAGGGUUCCGGGUUUGAAUCCUGGCCAAGACU